GAUGAGAUUAAUUCUUUCUUUAAAAUUAAUUAUAUUAUUAGAUCAUAGAUAAUAUUUUAGUUUAAAUAAUUGAUAAAGAAGUAUUUGUUAAUGUUUAUAUUAAUUAUUUUAUAUGCAAGUAUAUGUAGUAAUUUAUUUAUUAGAUUAGAUUAAAAUUAGUGCCAGCAAUCGCGGUUAUACUAAUUAAUUAAAUUAAUUAUUAAUUAAUUUAAUUAUGUAAUGUUUAGAGAAUUUUAUUAAUAUGCAUAAUUUUUAAUAAUUUAUAGUGAAAUAUAAUAUUAAAAUUAGUUGCAUAUUUAUUGAUUUUAUUUUAUUAGUAGAUUAUUGAAAAUAAACUAGGAUUAGAUACCCUAUUAUAUUAAUUAAUUUUAUUUAGUUAAGAGAUUAAAUGUUUAAAUCAUUAAAUUUAAAGGAUUUGGCGGUAUUCUUCGUAUUAGAGGAACUUGUUAGGUAAUUGAUACUCCACGUUAGGACUAACUUAAUUAAUAAUUUUAUGUAUUGUUGUUUUUAUGGAUUAAACUGUUAAGUUUUUUAGUCUUGACAUAGUAUUUAUUAUAAUAAUUCAAAUCAAAGUGUAGAUUAGUUAAGAUUUUAAUGAGUUACUUUUUUAAUAAUAACUUAAAAGGUGAAUUAAUAUAUUUAAUAAUAUUUUAUGAAAAAGGAUUUAAUUGUAAAUAAGAGUAAUAACUUUUAUUGAAAUAUAUAAAGGAUAUGUACAAAUUGCCCGUCACUCUUAUCUAUAAGAUGGGAGAAGUCGUAACAUAGUAAAUGUACUGGAAAGUGCUUUUGGAUUAUU
rnacentral:ncRNA from 1 species